GGCUUGACAGGCGACUCGUAGGCGUGUAGGGUCAUCGUAUAAGGGUCCAGGGUCGAUGGUGAGAAACGAAAUGAUGACCUAGCAAUGGUCAAAGGCUAAGUGAUACAAGCCAACGAGACCAACACGCUGGUGAGAGGUGAGAAGAGGCCACGUCUAAACGUCGGAGGCCUGCGAUGAACUUCGGAACAACGAAAAUGGAGACGACUAGAACAAGAUACCUCCUUGUUCUUCUAGAGUCCUCCCCACGAACGACCGCGAUGCCGGUAGACCGACGACAAGCUCUAGUACCUCAUGGUAGACGAGUGGAACCACCCGGUGACGGAGUAGGAGAGGGACCGUUGGGAGAAGGAGAUAAGGUUACAGACGUAAAAGCAGGUGUUCAGAGGGGGCUUGUAGGGACUCCACUUUUAAGGUCUCCUGUACUGACAUUUGUAACGUGAUAGUGACGCCGUACUCUAGUUGGCCCCGAAGAAGUGGAACUCUCUCUAACCAGUACCAGCACUAGACUUCUUUAAGGAGUAACACUAGCCUCCCGAGACCCAAGAAAGACAAGAACCCUCGACGACGUUGAAAAACUGUAACAGUAUGUAUCAGAAACACCACGACAUGUGACACGGUCAAGACAUACUCUUCAUGCUACUGUUCCAACUACGAAAACCACUCUUCCGGUACUAGCUUAACUUCUUCAUAAUACGGUAGAAACUUCUCUUCCAGGACAGCUUCUAGGGCUUCCCACGAGACUUCUUGUUCUUCGUGAUCUAGUGUUCUCAAUGGGACGGCGCAUAACGGUAGACACAAUUAGAGUUGAACAGUGGAGUAAAACUCCCUACCAAGACACAGUCACGCAGACAGAAAUCAAUUAUAUGAUGAACUAUCAUGUAUAUCUACACCACACGACUAGAAAAACACUUCACCUCAGUACGUGAAAAACAAAUAAAAAGUUGAAAGUCGUACCAAUGAGAUAGGCCCUCGGUCUUUACAAUACCGUAAUGGACAAGAUCACGGAUCACUAUAUGACGCAUCACUAAAUAGGUCAAAAGAAGCAAGGAAGGUAAAUUAUCCAUGAGGGAGAUAUUUCUUAUUCUGGCAAAUCAGUACUAAAUAUGUACUAGAAUAUCGUCAUAAAAGAAACGUCUCCCUCAUAAAUAAAAAUGGAAUAUAUCCAUAACCAUCUUGAAGUAAGCCA
rnacentral:rRNA from 1 species